CAAGAACAUAAGAACAGACCACCCCUCACAUACACUGGACUACCAUCACAUCAAAUACACAGUAGUAGAAGUGCUAGGCACCCACAACUAUCAACUGAACACCCUACCUGGCAUCCACAAUGUCUUUCAUACAAACCUGCUCUGACCCACAGCCAAGGACCCAUUCCCUUCACAAAAGACCUCCAACUGACAACCAUCUGUCAUUAUAGAAGAAGACAAUGAACUCAAAUGGGAAAUUGAAGCAAUCCUCAGCAAUAGAACCAAUCACCACCACCACAAAUACCUUGUCAAAUGGAUAGAAUACAAUCAUCCAACCUGAGAACCC
rnacentral:sRNA from 2 species